AAACAAGCAAUAACGCUUUAAAAUUUGAGGUCACAUUUCAUAAUAAAGAACAGACCGUCUGUAGUGUGGAAACGUCUCUCGUGGACAUCAAACACACAUCUGUGCUCUUCGUAAUCGGCAGACUCAUUUCGUGUACUGCGAAAAGCAAGGAAUUAAUUACGCGAAUAGUUUAUUGCAAUCACUUUAAUUUACAUUCCUUUUUUGUGUUUUGUUUUUCAUAAUGUCUGAAUGUAAGAUAACGUGCUUACCAGAGGAGAUGAUAAGCCACAUUCUCAACGAUAAUGUACUCACUAUUGAAGAUAUCAUCAACUUUCGAUGCGUGUGCAAGCAAUUUCGUUAUGCAGCCAAAUAUGACAAGUUCUUGGAAAAAAAGUUAUCUCAAAGAUAAUUCUUGUGAUGGCCCGAUGUAAAGAGACAAUAUAAAAUUUUUAAGGAAACAAAGGAUGGACAAAACAUGAACUUUCUUGCAAAAGGCCUAACUUGUGCGACACAGGUGCGAAACUGCUUGUCUCACAUUCUUUUUUACGAUUAUUAUUACAACAAUAAAUCAAAUCAAAAUUAUGACAUUGACCCAAUCGAUGAUGUAAUCGGAUUCAUUGAUAAUAUAGAUGAAUAUUUGAAUUGUUUGUUUGAAAAUGAACCUUUUUUUCGAAGACUUACCUCUGCAGAUGAGAUGAAAUACUUGUUCUAUAUUGACGAGAUUAAAUACUUCUUAUCACCAUCUCCACAAAAAAUUGAUCGCAAUUCAAUCGAAAGAUAUUGCGAAAUAAAAUUGUCUCACUAUGAAAAGCUAUCUUCGA